UGGGGAAUAUUGGACAAUGGGGGAAACCCUGAUCCAGCCAUGCCGCGUGAAUGAUGAAGGCCUUCGGGUUGUAAAGUUCUUUUAGUAGGGACGAUAAUGACGGUACCUACAGAAUAAGCUCCGGCUAACUUCGUGCCAGCAGCCGCGGUAAUACGAAGGGAGCUAGCGUUGUUCGGAAUUACUGGGCGUAAAGGGCGCGUAGGCGGUUUAACAAGUCAGAUGUGAAAGCCCAAGGCUCAACCUUGGAAUUGCGUUCGAUACUGUUUUUCUUGAAUUCGGGGGAGGGGAGUGGAAUUCCCAGUGUAGGGGUGAAAUUCGUAGAGAUUGGGAAGAACACCGGUGGCGAAGGCGGCUCACUGGACCGAUAUUGACGCUGAGGCGCGAAAGUGUGGGGAGCAAACA
rnacentral:rRNA from 1 species